CACAGAGGGAGCAAUGGGGUGAUUUGCUGGGACUCACACUGCACUCUCCUAUGGGAAGUGUGGCUGUCAGACAACAUCUAAGACAAGUCCUCAGAGCCCGAGCUUGGCUGGAGUGUUCCCUGAGGGUCCUCUUUAGAAGGGAGGUCCCAUCUUCCAGUGCUAGCUCAGCUACGAGUGGCCAUUAGCAAUUGUCAUGGGUCACUGCUGAAAGGCUAAAGAUCGCAGAGUAAGAAAUAGAAAUGAGAAUCCAGGACUGUGUAUCCUUUACAGCUUUUAGAUUUGCUGAGGCCUCAGAGAGUCAUCUCACUGCUGAACCACUACUGAGUUGUGCCCAUUGCAAUUAAAGUGUAAGUUUUGA